GACAAGAUGGCCGAGCGGUUAAGGCGCAUGACUCGUACGUUGAAUUCUUGCAAUUACCAGUCACCACAAGCGCAUUCACUAACAAGCUCUACAGAAGCGAAAGCUUUCCCCCUCUGCGAGGAAGUGUUCAUGUAGAGAAAUCUGCGUGGGUUCGAGUCCCACUCUUGUCA
rfam:Setosphaeria turcica Et28A unplaced genomic scaffold SETTTscaffold_10, whole genome shotgun sequence.